GCCCCCAUAGCUCAGGGGAUAGAGCACCGCUCUCCUAAAGCGGGUGUCGCAGGUUCGAAUCCUGCUGGGGGCG
rnacentral:tRNA from 1 species